rnacentral:rRNA from 2 species
AAAUUGAAGAGUUUGAUCAUGGCUCAGAUUGAACGCUGGCGGCAGGCCUAACACAUGCAAGUCGAACGGUAACAGGAAGCAGCUUGCUGCUUCGCUGACGAGUGGCGGACGGGUGAGUAAUGUCUGGGAAACUGCCUGAUGGAGGGGGAUAACUACUGGAAACGGUAGCUAAUACCGCAUAAUGUCGCAAGACCAAAGAGGGGGACCUUCGGGCCUCUUGCCAUCGGAUGUGCCCAGAUGGGAUUAGCUUGUUGGUGGGGUAACGGCUCACCAAGGCGACGAUCCCUAGCUGGUCUGAGAGGAUGACCAGCCACACUGGAACUGAGACACGGUCC